ACACAUAUCAUUCCUAACAAUCUUUACCAUUUUCCGCUCAACACGCUUGAGCAACAUUAUUAGAACAUACAAUUACAAUUCCUGGAGGAAGACGUAGCACCAAAACCUCUACUUAUAUAAGACGCGCGACAUGGUAAAGAAGAACAUGAAGAGUUUAUGUAAGAGUUCAAAUUCCGGAUAUCCACUUCGGUGCCCAGUCUCAUCUGCUCCCGCUCAGAAAAAAAUCAAAAUAAAUACUAGAAAAUUUCAAAAAAUUCCAAAUUUUUUUGUGGUGGUAGAUAAUUUGACGCGUGAGGUGCGCCCCAAAAUUCAACUUAUUUGGACAUCUGAGUAGCUCUCGGCAAAAAAGACAAAUUGGGUCAAAACAGUGCGUGAACAGUAAACAUUUUUACAGACCCUGAUUUUGUCUUUUUUGCCAAGAGCUGCUUAGAUUCUCAAAUGAGUUGAAUUUUGGGGCGCACCUCACGCGUCAAAUUAUCUACCACCCCAAAAAAAAUUGGAAUUUUUUGAAUUUUUCUAGGUUUUUUUUUGAAUUUUUUUCUGAGCGUGGGUGCAGAUGAGCUCGGGAGCCAAAACUCCGCGUCCAAUUCCGGAUAUCCACUUCGGUGCCCAGUCUCAUCUGCUCCCGCUCAGAAAAAAAAUCAAAAUAAAUACUAGAAAAAUUCAAAAAAUUCUACUUAUAUAAGACGUGCGACAUGGUAGAGAAGAACAUGAAGCACAUGGCAGAUAUUUCAUUUAUUGUGGGCAUCUUAGGUUGAAAACUUGAAUUCUCUAUCAGAGCAUAAAAGGAACGUACAGAAGUUCUAGAAGAAAAAGAAGCACAAGCAUAUAAUUUGUCUAUCACAAUACCAUGCACAGUUCAAAUUGUAAAAGUACUGACAGGUUUGGAGAAGUCUGUGGGAGUCACUCUCCCUUUCUUUGACAGUCUGUACAGUAGUCACUUGACCAAAAUAUCAUCUCAAAUAAAUAUAUACUACACCAUUUUCCUCCCUUCUCAGGUAGUACCAUGAGAAUUUGUGGUUAGAAAAAGGGAUCUCACAACUCAUCAAACAACUAUCCAAUCCACAAGUUUGUAGAAAUAAGAGCAAUUCCUUCUUCACUAACAUCAUUCAUCAACAACAACUAAGAAACUGAUCACCCUUUCAAGACUUAUAGGUGACGAGUGCCAUUCUAUGGCCAUCUUAACAUAAUGCUGACAAACAGCUAUGGACAUAUACUACAAACCCAGUAUAAAUUAACUAUGGACAA
rnacentral:lncRNA from 1 species